GGUUAAGCGACUAAGCGUACACGGUGGAUGCCCUGGCAGUCAGAGGCGAUGAAGGACGUGCUAAUCUGCGAAAAGCGUCGGUAAGGUGAUAUGAACCGUUACAGCCGGCGAUGUCCGAAUGGGGAAACCCAGUGCAAUUCGUUGCACUAUCGUUAACUGAAUACAUAGGUUAACGAGGCGAACCGGGGGAACUGAAACAUCUAAGUACCCCGAGGAAAAGAAAUCAACCGAGAUUCCCCCAGUAGCGGCGAGCGAACGGGGAGCAGCCCGGAGUCUGAAUCAGCUUGUGUGUUAGUGGAAGCGUCUGGAAAGUCGCAGGGUACAGGGUGAUACUCCCGUACACUAAAACACACAGGUUGUGAACUCGAAGAGUAGGGCGGGACACGUGGUAUCCUGUCUGAAUAUGGGGGGACCAUCCUCCAAGGCUAAAUACU
rnacentral:rRNA from 1 species